rnacentral:rRNA from 1 species
CCUACGGGUGGCUGCAGUGGGGAAUAUUGGACAAUGGGCGAAAGCCUGAUCCAGCCAUGCCGCGUGUGUGAGGAAGGCCUUCGGGUUGUAAAGCACUUUCAGUGGGGAAGAAAGCCUUGGGGCUAAUACCCUCGAGGAAGGACAUCACCCACAGAAGAAGCACCGGCUAACUCCGUGCCAGCAGCCGCGGUAAUACGGAGGGUGCGAGCGUUAAUCGGAAUUACUGGGCGUAAAGCGCGCGUAGGCGGUCUGAUAAGCCGGUUGUGAAAGCCCCGGGCUCAACCUGGGAACGGCAUCCGGAACUGUCAGGCUAGAGGGCAGGAGAGGAAGGUAGAAUUCCCGGUGUAGCGGUGAAAUGCGUAGAGAUCGGGAGGAAUACCAGUGGCGAAGGCGGCCUUCUGGACUGACACUGACGCUGAGGUGCGAAAGCGUGGGUAGCAAACAGGAUUAGAUACCCUUGUAGUC